GUGUGUCUGUGUGUGUGUGUGUGUGUGUGUGUGUGUGUGUGUAGCGUCGGUGGUCAUCACACGUCAGGCGUGCGUGGGCCGAGGUGUGAGUGGACGCGUGUGUGUGUGCGUGCGCGUGGGGCGUGCGAGUCAGUGAGUGCGUCUGCCCCUGUCCCCUCCUGGCGCCUGCACUUUGAUCUUAUUUGAUCCGGCCUUGACCCACCUCUGUGCCGGGCCGCCCCGAGAAAAGAAAAGGAGAAAAAAAAAAAAAAA